GUAGGUCCCGAGCGUUGUCCGGAUNUAUUGGGCGUAAAGAGGGAGCAGGCGGCACUAAGGGUCUGUGGUGAAAGAUCGAAGCNNAACNUCGGUAAGCCAUGGAAACCGUAGAGCUAGAGUGUGUGAGAGGAUCGUGGAAUUCCAUGUGUAGCGGUGAAAUGCGUAGAUAUAUGGAGGAACACCAGUGGCGGAGGCGACGAUCUGGCGCAUAACUGACGCUCAGUCCCGAAAGCGUGGGGAGCAAAUAGGAUUAGAUACCCUAGUAGUCCACGCCGUAAACGAUGAGUACUAAGUGUUGGGAGUCAAAUCUCAGUGCUGCAGUUAACGCAUUAAGCACUCCGCCUGGGGAGU
rnacentral:rRNA from 1 species